CACACAGCUCAGUAACACGUGGCUAAUCUGCCCUUGGGACCGGAACACCCCCGGGAAACUGGGGCUAAUUCUCGAUAGGUGAAGAACUCUGGAAUGAGUCUUCGCUUAAAAGACGUUUACGUUAUGCUCGUAGGCGUCGCCCAAGGAUGAGGCCGCGACCGAUCAGGUUGUUGGUGAGGUAAUGGCUCACCAAGCCUUUUACCGGUGCGGGCCGUGAGAGCGGGAGCCCGGAGAUGGGCACUGAGACAAGGGCCCAGGCCCUACGGGGCGCAGCAGUCGCGAAAACUUUGCAAUACACGAAAGUGUGACAGGGCUAUCCCGAGUGCCAUCCGCUGAGGAAGGCUUUUACCCAGUCUAGAACGCUGGGGGAAUAAGGAGAGGGCAAGUCUGGUGUCAGCCGCCGCGGUAAUACCAGCUCUCCGAGUGGUGUGGAUGUUUAUUGGGCCUAAAGCAUCCGUAGCUGGCUAAGUUAGUCCCUUGUUAAAUCCACCGAAUUAAUCGUUGGAUUGCGGGGGAUACUGCUUGGCUAGGGGACGAGAGAGGCAGACGGUAUUUCCGGGGUAGGGGUGAAAUCCUAUAAUCCCGGGAAGACCACCAGUGGCGAAGGCUGUCUGCUAGAACGCACCCGACGGUGAGGGAUGAAAGCUGGGGGAGCGAACC
rnacentral:rRNA from 1 species